rnacentral:rRNA from 1 species
GACGAACGCUGGCGGCGUGCUUAACACAUGCAAGUCGAACGGAAAGGCCCUGCUUUUGUGGGGUGCUCGAGUGGCGAGCGGGUGAGUAACACGUGAGUAACCUGCCCUUGACUUUGGGAUAACUUCAGGAAACUGGGGCUAAUACCGGAUAGGAGCUCCUGCUGCAUGGUGGGGGUUGGAAAGUUUCGGCGGUUGGGGAUGGACUCGCGGCUUAUCAGCUUGUUGGUGGGGUAGUGGCUUACCAAGGCUUUGACGGGUAGCCGGCCUGAGAGGGUGACCGGACAGCUGGAGAGAUGGGAGCGGCCCAGCGGUCGGGGGGAGGGAGGGGUGGUGAAGAAGGAGGCGUGGGCGGGCGCUUGGGGCAGCAGGGCGGGGGGCGGGAUGGCGGCCGGGGUGUGGUAAGCCGGUGGCGUCGGGGACGGAGCGGGAGUGAGGGGAAAGGGAAAAGAAGCACCGGCAAACUACGGGCCAGCAGCCGGGGUAAUAACGGGACGAGCACACGGCUGAAC